GACGUAGGAGGCAAGCGUUGUUCGGAAUUACUGGGCGUAAAGCGCACGUAGGCGGUCAGGCAAGUCGGGUGUGAAAGCCCUGGGCUCAACCUGGGAAUUGCAUUCGAAACUAUCUGACUCGAGUAUGGGAGAGGGAAGCGGAAUUUCCGGUGUAGCGGUGAAAUGCGUAGAUAUCGGAAGGAACACCAGUGGCGAAGGCGGCUUCCUGGACUAAUACUGACGCUGAGGUGACGAAAGCGUGGGGAGCAAACAGG
rnacentral:rRNA from 1 species